rnacentral:rRNA from 1 species
UACGGAGGGGGCUAGCGUUGUUCGGAAUUACUGGGCGUAAAGCGCACGUAGGCGGCUUUGUAAGUUAGAGGUGAAAGCCCGGGGCUCAACUCCGGAAUUGCCUUUAAGACUGCAUCGCUCGAAUUGUGGAGAGGUAAGUGGAAUUCCGAGUGUAGAGGUGAAAUUCGUAGAUAUUCGGAAGAACACCAGUGGCGAAGGCGACUUACUGGACACAUAUUGACGCUGAGGUGCGAAAGCGUGGGGAGUAAACAGG